rnacentral:rRNA from 1 species
UACAGAGGUCCCAAGCGUUGUUCGGAUUCACUGGGCGUAAAGGGUGCGUAGGCGGUCGGGUAAGUCUGAUGUGAAAUCUCACAGCUUAACUGUGAAACUGCAUUGGAUACUAUCCGGCUAGAGGAAUGGAGGGGAGACUGGAAUACUUGGUGUAGCAGUGAAAUGCGUAGAUAUCAAGUGGAACACCAGUGGCGAAGGCGAGUCUCUGGGCCGUUACUGACGCUGAGGAGCGAAAGCGUGGGGAGCGAACAGG